CAUGUAAAUAUGUAUAAGAAAUAUAUAGAUUACAUAUCAAUUAAAUCUAAUCGAAAAUUUAUUUAAUCGUAAAUUACAAUCUCAUGGAAACUUUACCACAAUUUUGUUAAAUUACACAAAUUUUUGUCAAUAUCCGUAUCGAUAAUUAUCGAAACUUUAAAAUGUCAGUAAUACAAAAUAUCUCCCUAGAAAAUGAAAUUGAUGAGCUGACAUUUAAAUUGCAGCUCUUGUUUUAUUAUACUCAGCUGCUUAUGAAAAGUUUGGAUGAACAGGCUCAAUUAUUAUAUCAAAUAGAAGUUCAAAAGAGCGAAUUAGAAGAGCUGGAGAAAUCUAUGGCAGUUGCUGAGGCUCAAAACGAUGUUGAUAAUAAUGCUAAUUAAAACAAUUUUAUUUUUCUAUUAAGUAUUUAAUUUUUUAUCGCUUAAAUGUACAGUAUAAUUAUUAAUUGUGAUAUUAAGUAAGAUGUUCCAUUAAGUACGAUAACUAAGUAUUGUAAUUAAUAUAGUGAUGUACAAAAAAAUAUAACAAAUAUUUUACUCUUA